CAGUCUGACCUUUCACCUCGGCUUGGCGGCAGCACGGACGGGACCACAUGCUACAAACGUUCCUGAUGUCCCGCCACCAGGAGACCAGGACCAGGACCAGGACCGGCACGCCGCUCCAACUCCGGCUCUUCACUCCUUGCGCUCACAUGUCCAUCACACCGGAAGCUGGCGGCCACCCAUCACAAAAGAAGGAUCACGGCGCAGUCGGCAGGCCUCAGCUCUGACCGCCGCCUGGAACACACAUCACCUGGAACCCUCCACCUCCUCUUUGGCGCUCCGCCCUCCCACGUCCAACUGACCGGACCGGAUCGGACCAGACCGGACGCCGCGGGACACACAUCUGCUGGUGACUAUUGCUUGUAUACAUAUCACCACAUUGAUUAGAUCUUGUGUUUAACUGAGUUCCCCUCUUAAGAUACACACCCAAUUAAAACUCAUCCUUCACAUCAGGCCUCUGUUUGUUUCAGCAGCUGGAAACAAAGUGAGUAUUUUUUGGUUGGUUUUAAAAAAUGUUGUGGUUUUUGGUAUUUUUGUAAGGAAGUAAGUCUUUAAAUAAAUACUUUAAAUAAAUGAUGGCCACCUUCCAGUCUCUUUACUACAGCAUGGGUGAAUGUGGCACAUCUCAGGCUGGAGUUGGAGUGAUCUGCUGGACUCUGCUGGUCCUCCUCAUGCCAUUGCAACAAACUAUUGCACAAGCAAAGAUACACACUGUUUUCUGCAAAGCCUUAACUGUCAGAAAAUAUAAUAUGUUUUGUCAAUGUCAUUUAUACAAGUCUGUCUUCUGUCCAGGCUCCUGAAUGAACAGAGAAAAGGGCCUGGAGAAGACCUCAAGUGCACACAAACACAAUUGUGGUUUAAAGUUUUCUACCUAAAGCACCACAGGCUGUCUUCCCCUCUUUGUUUGGAUUUUUCUUUGCCUUUUCCUACAUUUUAUAUCAAUAUCACCAGUGAACAUGUUUCAAAGUCAACAGAGAAUUUCAAAUUAAAUUACUACUACUAUGAUUUCCUUUGACAUGACUUGGAAGUUAAUGGAAGAGCUACACAAAGACAUUAAAUGUUACUUAUUUUCACAGUUGUUUAGUGAUAUUUCAUUGAAUUGAACUUACCCAAUUGUUUGUAGCAUGUGCUCCCUCCAAGCCAAGGUGAAAGGUCAGACUUUCAAACAGGAGGUGGGAGCAUCCAAUUGGAUUUUUAGAAGGGGAAACUCAGAUCGUACUAACUCAUCCUUCACAACAGGCCUCUGUUCUUACAUAUAUUAACAUACAAUGCGGUUUCAAUACUGUUCUGAAUAGUCACAUGUCAUACAUUCACACAGUGCAUCGCCUCCCAUCCACCAAACGCUGCAGAUAAAAACAUGCUACCAAACGUCGGCGCCGGAUUAAAAAUCUUAUUUCUGACACAUUUUUGUGUCAAAACCAGUCACAAAAUGCACAGGCAGGUUCCCCAGCAUGCAUUCCAAACCGGCAGGGGGAAACCACACAAUUUGGUGCACCCAUGUGCACAGGAAGCAAGGAAGGGGAAGUUAUAAAUGUUUGGCGAGGAGCUCAGGUCACUCUUUCACCUGCUGCUGCUGCUGCUGAAGAACAAUAGGCCAGCUACAGCUCAUGUUCAUCAUUACAGACGCAACUGGUAGGACAAACCAAGUUAUGUGCUUUGUAGGCUUUUCUAUUUGUAUUUGAGAACAUGCUUUCUAAGUUGAAACUUUUGUGUUAGGUGAAUUGAGUCAUUAGUUGGAAAAUUAACAUUUAUUCUUUGUCUUAGUCUUCAAUAUUCUUUAAGGAAAUGUUAUGUAUGCAUUUAUUUUGAACUAAUGCAUGUCUUUCUAUUAUCUUUAAGGUUUUCAACCUAUUCCGUUCGAUUCAAUGCAUUCUGUUCUAUUAUUCCAUCCUCCCCAUCUGGAAGAAAAUAAAGAAUCAAAAGAAUUGAGUUAUCCUUUGCGUUCCUAAGAUGAGCAAGCCAUUUCUCAAGUUUGGGCAGAGUUGUGGUUAGCCAAAGAACUGAGAAUAAACUUCAAACAAAACACACAAAACUUGACACACAUAAACAAUGAAAACAUCGGCUAACAGCAUUCAGGAUUAUAUAUCGGUCUGCUGACGUCUCACAGACAAAGUCAGCUUUGUUAUAAUGAAGACACCAACGUUUCGGAGGACCUUCCCACUGGUCCGAUGAUAGACGCCUCUGUGAUAGAACAUUAUCUCAACCAUUAGAAAUCAGGAAGUUGGAUCCAAGCCCCACGUGUGGAGUCUAAAGCUGUUUUAACUUGUUUUGCCUGAUCAGACUUGCAUGUUAACUUAAAACAAUUUACACAUUUAUUUUGACUGUUCCUCUUUAAGGUUUGUGGCUUUUGCUCCUGAGGAAAACUCAAGGUGGACGGUCAAACAUGAUAAAGUGAGGUAGCAUCAGUCUGAAGGAUAUCAGUUCUCCUGAAGGCCCGCGAGCUCACAGCUCUUCUUCCACAGCUCGGUUUGGAGCUCAGAGUCGUAGGAAAGGUCAGCGGACUGCGUCUUCUGGCCAUUGUACACGUAACAGCCCCCCACUCCCUCCAUCUCAGAGGCGACUGCAGCGUAGAUGGUGGUGGAUGCUCCCUCUGCCGGAGUCUGAGGAGGACAAACAUGAAGAAAAAGGACUUUACAACCUGUUAGAAAAUCAGCAUGUGAAUGAGUCUGGGCCAGUCGGCAGGAGGACGCUUCUGGGUCUCCCAGGGUGCCUCGCUCUUCAGCGCUGUGCGCUCCACCACCCGCUCCACCGAGGUCAUCUGAGGACAUAAAGAGGUUGAUUGAGUCCCCGCACCGACCCUCCGGCUCUGACUCGACCCCCCCGGACCGGCGGCUCCGUCCUCACCAUGUUCUCCACCUCCGCGCUCUGCCUCACGCUCCACUGGAAGUUUCCUAUCAGCGUCACGGCGUAGGCUGCUGACUGAAGAGAGAAAACGGGCCAGAGAAGACCUGAAGUGCACACAAACACAAACACCAUGAAAUGUGGUGUCAAAUUCCUGACUAAAGAACUGCAGACCGUCCUUCCCUCUGGACCCUUUGUUUUGAGUUUUCUUUGCCUUUUCCAAUAUUUCCUAUCAAUGAUAUCACCAGUUAGGAUGUUUGAAAGUCAACACGGAAGCUUGAGCAUGUGGGGCUAACUCAGCCUGCCAAAUUAGCUAACUGUGAAUAAUUUGGUUAUUUUGAAUUUGAGACUACUCACUUCUGAUUUCCUUUGACAUGACAUGGAAGUUAAUGGAAGAGCAACACAAAGGCAUUUGAUGUUACUUAUUUUCAUAGUUGUUUAGUGAUAUUUCAAUGAAUUGAACUUACCCAAAUGUUUGUAGCAUGUGCUCCCAUCCGUGCUCCCUCCAAACCAAGGUGAAAGGUCAGACUGUCAAACGAGAGGUGGUAGAAUCCAAUUUGAUUUAUAGGAGGGGGAACCCGGAUCGUACUAAGCGGGGUAGAGAACAGGGGGGUGUUUGGCUGCUGCCCGAAAAACAGCAGUUGUACAGGUUGUAUGUUGAAAUGUCAGCCAAUCAUAUGAACUUUUAAGGGCCGACACAGAGGAAAGACUGAAACUCUUGUGGUUAAAACACCCUGGAAUUAUUUAAGUUGUAAGUUUUCACCUCUGACAGAGUGGCUGAAGGGGUUAGAGGACUACUCUACAGACUCAGAGGUUGCGAGUU